rnacentral:rRNA from 1 species
ACGGGUGAGUAACGCGUGGGAACGUGCCCUUUGCUACGGAAUAGCCCUGGGAAACUGGGAGUAAUACCGUAUGUGCCCUUUGGGGGAAAGAUUUAUCGGCAAAGGAUCGGCCCGCGUUGGAUUAGGUAGUUGGUGGGGUAAUGGCCUACCAAGUCGACGAUCCAUAGCUGGUUUGAGAGGAUGAUCAGCCACACUGGGACUGAGACACGGCCCAGACUCCUACGGGAGGCAGCAGUGGGGAAUCUUAGACAAUGGGGGAAACCCUGAUCUAGCCAUGCCGCGUGAGCGAUGAAGGCCUUAGGGUUGUAAAGCUCUUUCAGUGGGGAAGAUAAUGACGGUACCCACAGAAGAAGCCCCGGCUAACUCCGUGCCAGCAGCCGCGGUAAUACGGAGGGGGCUAGCGUUGUUCGGAAUUACUGGGCGUAAAGCGCACGUAGGCGGAUCAGAAAGUCAGAGGUGAAAUCCCAGGGGUCAACCUUGGAACUGCCUUUGAAACUCCUGAUCUUGAGGUCGAGAGAGGUGAGUGGAAUUCCGAGU